UCGAGUUUGCCGUUGGGGACUGUGCUGGCCUUCGGGCAUGUGCACGUCCCCUUCAUUUCCACACACCUCGUGCACCUCUAGGUGGCUCUCCCGACCGAGGCCGCCUGCUUUUUUUACAUGCGCUUUUUCUGUGUGUUAAUUGGAUGUCUUGUCUAAAUAGUAA
rnacentral:misc_RNA from 1 species